GAGAGAACCAAACAACUGACGUUGCAGCACCGUGGCAACGCAGGCCCUAACGACAGGGAGGCGGUCGUUAUGCAGAUGAGGUCCAGCUGAGAGCGCGGGAGGCCGCCUGGCUCGUUAGGCCGCGGCCCGGCAAAUGGCUCGCUAAUGUAACACUGCUUCCUGGUCUAAUGGAGCCCUGUUUUGCAGAAUUAUUUGUCUUUGCACGCCACGGGGAGCCAGGGGGGCCACCAACAGCGAGGAGGAGAGAGAGGUGAAGUCACUUCUGUCUCUCUGGCCCCCAACACCACACCGGGGGAAUGUCCCAGCAGACUGUGACCUGACGACAAGCGAUCAUCAUGUGCAUCUGGAAUAAAAAUACAGAAAUGACCAACAUA